ACAAUAUUUUCACAUUACAAAGAUAUAAGAAAUAGACCAUAUGAGCAUUCAGAUAGAAAAAAGUAAGUUUUCUAUGUAGGAACUGAAAUCUCUCUGGACACAGGCUUUUUUUUUUUGCACCACCCAGGAUCAGAAGACAAUGAAACCACAUGUAGUAGAGUUUUCAGGGGGAAAUGUUGGGAACAACCUCAUGCCCAACUAAGUCUGUUGUCUUUCAAGUCAACAGUAUAUACUUUCAGUACCAUAGACCUGGUACCAUAGACCUUUCCGUCCCUUCAUUAACACAUCUCAAAGAUCUACUACCCAAAAGAGCAGUGAAAAUGAAGAUCUCAGUAAUGAGGAGAUCAUGAUCCACAGGGACUUUAGGACCAGCGUUGUUCAUGCUGGACCCACAUACAGGUAUUUGGCCUCCGUGCAGUCUGGUCAGUUCUGUGGCUAGGGGCUGCAGUUUGGCCUGCAAGAACCUCCCUGAGCUGCUCCUCUUAAGGUUUCUGUCAUUUCCCAGAAAGUGUAUUUCUUGCACCACAUGCUUUACCUCAUGUUUCAGAAGAAAUGUCAUGAUUGAUGACCACAUGAAACUGAUUUGGCUCCAGGGUCUGUUGACAUUAGCCAAACUAUUUACAUGGUUGAGAGCCAAUGCCAAGAAGAACCAUACACUUCCCCUUUUUCAAAACCAGAGCUGUGUAGUGCAUCGUAUUCAUCAUUUGCAUUUGCAUUACCAAGAGCCUCACAUGUUUUCUAUGUCUUUUUUUUUUUUUUUCAAAGAGAUAGUCCUGCUUUGUUGCCCAGGGUCUGCUCUUGAAAUCCUGGACUCAAGUAAUCCUUCACCUUAGUCUCCCAAAGUGCUGGGAUUACAGGCAUGAGCCGCUGUGCCCAGCUGUUGUCUGCAUCUUUAAGACUUCAAUGUUUACUUGAUUUCUCUGACUUUUAACUAGGAAAGAAUAGUAAAAGGUCUAAGCAGCCACUGUGUCAGAAAGCUUCAGUUCAUACUGUCCUCCACCUGGGACUUGUGAAUGUCCCUGUGUUACCUAUGGCUGGACUCAGUAUAUUCAUUAUGUUUAUAUAAUGCAAAUGUUUAGAAGUGAGGCUGAACUGUUUUUUAAUAUUUUUUAGAAUAAAUCUCGGAAUCAGAGAAAUUAUCAUUUCCUUUUGAUCUAAGAAGUUAGUGACUCACUUUAGUAAGAGAAAUAUUUUUAAAGGCACAGAAAAAAGAGUAAGAAUUAUAAUAAUAUAAGAAUUAAAAUAUUUCUGACUGGAAAUAUUACAAUAUAACUAUUGCUGGGUAAUUAGCCCUCCGCCCACCUCUGGAAUUACUGACUUAAACAAUAUAUUUGGAACCUUCAGAAACAGGGUCAAUAGUGUAUAAACAUAUAUACUAUAAGACCUUUAUUAUAGGCAAUUUAUUGCGAGGAGUUGGCUCAUGGAUUGUGGAAGAUGAGAAGUCCCGUAAUCUGCCAUCUGCAAGCUGGAGACCCAGGAAAGCUGGUGGGGUAGUUCCAGUCUGAGUCGAAUGGCCUGAGAACCAGGGGCACUGAUGGCGUAAGCCCCAGUUUGAGUGCAGGAGAAGACUGAUGUCCCAGCUCAAGUAGUCAGGCAGAGGGACCAAGUUCUACCUUGCCAGGUCUUUUGUUCUGGCCUGCAAUGGACUGGGGAAGGAACACUGGGGAAAGCAACCUGCUUUACUCAGUCUAUGAUUCCAAUGUUAAUCUCAUCCAAACACCUUUACAGACAUACCCAGAAUAAGGUUUAUCGAAGUAUUUAGGCAUCUUGUGGUCUAGACAUAAAACUAACUGUCACAAACAACAUGCAUUUAUUAUGCUCACGGGUUCUGUGGAUCUGGAAUUUCAACAGGGCACAGGAGGGAGGGUUUGUCUUUAUUCCCUGGUGUCUGUGACCUCAGCUCAGUAAGACUCAAGCUGGGAAUGACUUGGUAGCUGGGGGCUGGAAACAUCUGGAAGCUCUUUCAUUCCCCUGCCUGGUGCCUGGGUUGUCAUGACUUGAAUACUAGGAUUACUGAGCAGAGCAGUCACCAGCUUGCCCAGAUUCAGAGAAGUGGGGACACAGACCCCAACCUCAAUGAGCAGAGUAGGAAAAGAAUUUCUAGCCAUACCUUCAAAAAUGACCUAGUAAUAACUUGCUAACAUCGGUUUUCUUUACCUCACAGGAUUUGGGAUGGUGUUCUGUGUUGAACUGUGUCCCCCCACCCGCUUCCAAAUUCAUAUGUUCAAGUUCUAACCCCCACUACCUCAGAAUGUGACUAUUUGGAAAUCGUGUAUUAAUGAAUGUUUAACAUGUGCCAAAAAGUGUUUUUAGUACUGGAGAAUAUGAAGAGAAAGAAGACCCAUUUCUCACCCUUAAAGAAGUUAUAGUCUACUGGGAGAAGAGAAUCAGGAAAAAAUGGAAGGAAUAACUGGAAGUUUUCAGAAGUUACUAUCUCUGCUAUGGGAAUGGAUAGUCAGACACCAAUGUUCACAAAUUACUCUUGAAACUUGAUGCAAACAACCUGUUUAAAAACUGAUGUAACGAGAGGAAUUUCAUGGAUGCAAAUGAACACCUGUGAAAAUUCUUAGGCAAGAACUGGUUCAUUUAGCAACACCAGGUUAGCAGUUUGAGAGAAGAUCUUUUUUGGGUCUACAUGCCCAAAUUUACAGAUUGUUUUGAUACUUGAAUCUGCCAUAAUGUUUGUUGAAUAAAUAAUCUCUAUCUUUGAGGGAGUUACUGAAAUUUUUUAUAAUCAAACUCCUGAAAGGAAUACAUUUAGAUUGUAUGCAUCUCAAUGUACUCUGAGGCCUGUGGAUAUUUGCUGUUCUUUUUAAAGAAUUUAGGCAUCUUAACUCUUGGCAUAUAAAAUUAUUCUUAGGAACUAUAUGGAUGUAAUUCAAGUGUAAUACCACCUAUACAUUUGCCAGAAAUCACAGAUAUAAAUAUAUAUAUACAUAUAUAUGUGUAUAUAUACUUUUUCUCAUUUCCAGUAACAAUGAAAAUCCUAUAACUUUUUGCUGCAGAUGAAAAUAACUGGGAUCAUGAAUGAAAUGACCAGAUGGUUGCCCUAUCAUCUAACAGUGAAGGUCUCCCCGCUUGACAUGUUUCUGGUUUCUUAAGACUUUAAUAUAUUGUUCUUAACAUUUAUUUGGGCUGUAUUUGCAUUUUUGGAAGCUGACCAGUUUCUACACAUAUCUAAAUGCCUCUAUUUGAAGACAGAGCAAUAGAAAUUGUCCCAUCUAAAGAAGGAGGAGGAGGAGGAGGAGGAGGAGGACAAGAAAAGGGAGUGAGAAACGUAGAGAACCUCAGGAAUGUGUGGCACAAUAUUAAAAAAGCUGACAUUAUGGAUAGUUAAAGUAUCAGGAAGAGAGGAGAAAAAGAAUGAGAUGGCAAACAUUUGAAAAAAUAGUGGCUGAAAACAUCCUAAAUUUAAUAAGAUGUUUACAUUUUCUGAUUGGAUUAGUUUUGUGAAUCCCAAACAGGAUAAAUACAAAGAAAACCAAACUAGACACAUCAUAGUCAAACUACCGAAAACAAACAAACAAACAAAAAACAAA